CCUACGGGAGGCUGCAGUGGGGAAUAUUGCACAAUGGGGGAAAGCCUGAUGCAGCGACGCCGCGUGAGUGAAGAAGGAUUUCGGAAUGUAAAGCUCUAUUGGUAGGGAAGAAAAUGAGGGUACGUGACUAAGAAGGUUCGGCCAAAUACGUGCCAGAAGCCGCGGGAAAACGUAGGGGGCAAGCGUUAGCCGGAUUUAAUGGGUGUAAAGGGAGCGCAGACGGUCAGACAAGACAGAAGUGAAAGCCACGGUUUCAAUCCUGGUACGGCAUUUGAAACUGCCGGGCUUGAGUGCAGGAGAGGUGAGCGGAAUUCCUAGUGUAGCGGUGAAAUGCGUAGAUAUUAGGAGGAACACCAGUGGCGAAAGCGGCUUUCUGGACUGUAACUGACGCUGAGGCUCGAAAGCGUGGGUAGCAAACAGGAUUAGAUACCCCAGUAGUC
rnacentral:rRNA from 1 species